rnacentral:rRNA from 1 species
GGCAGCAGUAGGGAAUCUUCCACAAUGGACGAAAGUCUGAUGGAGCAACACCGCGUGAGUGAAGAAGGUUCUCGGAUCGUAAAGCUCUGUUGUAAGGGAAGAACAAGUACAGGAGUAACUGUCUGUACCUUGACGGUACCUUACCAGAAAGCCACGGCUAACUACGUGCCAGCAGCCGCGGUAAUACGUAGGUGGCAAGCGUUGUCCGGAAUUAUUGGGCGUAAAGCGCGCGCAGGCGGUCCUUUAAGUCUGAUGUGAAAGCCCACGGCUCAACCGUGGAGGGUCAUUGGAAACUGGAGGACUUGAGUACAGAAGAGGAAAGCGGAAUUCCACGUGUAGCGGUGAAAUGCGUAGAGAUGUGGAGGAACACCAGUGGCGAAGGCGGCUUUCUGGUCUGUAACUGACGCUGAGGCGCGAAAGCGUGGGGAGCAAACAGGAUUAGAUACCCUGGUAGUCCACGCCGUAAACGAUGAGUGCUAAGUGU